GACGAACGCUGGCGGCGUGCCUAAUACAUGCAAGUAGGACGCAGUUGCGAACGGGUGAGUAACGCGUAGGUAACUACCUAUUAGAGGGGGAUAACUAUUGGAAACGAUAGCUAAUACCGCAUACUAGUAGAUGGACCUGCGUUGUAUUAGCUAGUAGGUAGGGUAAUGGCCUACCUAGGCAACGAUACAUAGCCGACUGACAGGGGUGAUCGUCAACCCUGGACCUGUGUCACGGCCCAGAAUCUUACGGGAGGCAGCAGCAGGGAUUCUUCGGCAAUGGGGGGAACCCUGACCGAGCAACGCCGCGUGAGUGAAGAAGGUGUUCGGAUCGUAAAGCUCUGUUGUUAAGGAAGCGGUACUUAACCAGAAAGGGACGGCUAACUACGUGCCAGCAGCCGCGGUAAUUC
rnacentral:rRNA from 1 species